AGCUUAGCGGCGGAGCUCCGACACCGUGUUUUAACCUUUUUUUUUUUUUUUUUUUUUUUUUUUUUUUAAAGAAACCCUUAUAACUGCUAUCAUCUCAUAAGAAAGAAGUGACAAGGUCAUCCCAAAACCACUAGGCGGAAAGCAGUGUGAACUUUUCAGGUGCUAACCCAAUCCAGUUGAGCCCUCCGAGCAGCUCAGAUGCUAACACGGCUAGUGCUAAUAUGGCUGCCAUUGAAGAAGAGUUGUGCGAACUCAGGUCACAAUUUAGAACAAGAUUCGAUGUCGUCGACCAGAAGCUGGUGGAUAUGACAAACAUUCUCACAACACUGAAGGACACAGUUAAAGAGAUAAAACAAGACGUGGUGAGCAACACAGCCCACAUCGACCAGGCUGAGACCCGCAUUGAUGAGACAGAAACAGCCCUGAGAUCAGCCAUCAAACGAAUCUCUCUUCUGGAAGCAAAAACCGAAGACCUGUAGAACCGAGGUAGGAGGAAGAACUUGCGUAUCCUUGGAAUAAAAGGGAGCUGAGGGGACAGGGCCACUCACUGACUUUAUAAAGGAAAUGUUCCCAGCAUGGCUGAGGCUGUCACCGCAAAGACAUUGGCGUUAGAACGUGUUCACCGUACGCUGGCUCCCGGGAGACCGAACCAGAACAGCGGUAGUGGUGCCGUUCUCGCUGCUUCAAGAGAAGGAGUUUGUCUACCGGGAGAGUAGAAAGAAGGACAUGAAACACGACGGGCUAAAAAUCCCUUUUACUCAGGACCUUUCAGCAGAAACGGUACGUGCUCGGAGAGGAUUUCAACCCGUGAUAAAGAACUUUAUCGACAUCAGGGCCUUCCGGGUUUCAGUACAAUCCGUGCAAGCUCAGGAUUCUGUAUAAAGGCAAGAUUCACCUUUUUUCAACACUGCAGGAAGCCGAACAUUUCUACAAAGGAAUCCCGCAAGCAACGGCAGAUACCGAGGGAGUGUGUGUGUUGUAUAGUUUUACAGCGAUGACCUGCAUGUGAUCAGAACGUUGUUUACUUUGACAUAAAAAGAGACACGAACACUCACCUGGGUGUUGACGCUCAGCCAUUUGAACAAAAUCAGCAGCGUGACGCUCGAGUCGACAGUCGGCUGCAUCCUGGAGCUGCACAGGCGGACAGAUGGACCCAUCUGGUUCUGGAGGAUCCACUGAGGACCGACAUGCACAAAGUUCAACACAAUCAAAGUCCAGAUCCGGACCAGAGAUCCUCAGUCUGUCUCGCUGUGCCGCCUGCUACAACCAGAAGUCUGACUCCACGUAUCGGUGGAGGAACGGCGGUGAGUCCAGCUCUUCUGAUGAAGCUUCUGGACCAGAGAUGGAGUCGGACGCAGAGUUUAGCUCCAGCAGCAGCAGCACUGAGGAUGUUGUAGCAGAAAAACCUGAGAGGAACUCACCUGUACCUGGAGACAAUGCUGAGGAUGAACCUAGAGGACAGGAUGGAACAUCGGAGAACCAGGAUGAGGAACAAAUGAUUAAAGAGGCGAGACCAAGAGCUCCAUUCAUCAGACCAAAGAACUACAGACUUCACAACCUGCUCAAACUCUUGGUACAGGACCUCACCACACGGGUCAAGAAGGUUUCUGUCUCAUUUCUACUCUGAAGCUCACCUUCUCCUGCUAUAACUGCUGACAAAUGUUUCUGCUACUCUAAAGUCUGGUCUCCAGAACUUCCUAAAAACUCUCAAAGUCUCUUCUGCUGCAGGCUGCUUUGUAGAACUGUUCCAGAAAACCUCACUAAACCACAUGGAGGGGCCUCAAGAUAGUCGUCCAAAUGAAACCAUACAAAAACCAAACUAGCACAACCCAAACACUAAAGUCUCCUGCAGCCUACCAGAGAACCUCUGAGAACAGAGAAUCAGGACAGGAACUCUUACCUUCUGGACAACCAACGCUGGUUCACCAACAAGAAUACAGAAUGUGUCUGACCAAAAACCUCUAAAGACUCACCACAGCCAAGAUAAAGACACAACUCAGCUGCACCAAAUCCACUAAUCACUGCACACACUAGCACCAUGUGCUAACUGUGGCUAAAGAACCACAUUUACCAAGACAACUAUCCAGUACAAAGCCCUAAAACACACCAAGAAACACAUUAAAGACGAUUUUACUGCUGGAAGCUGCAAGCCAACGUCUAAACAACAAACUAAAUCAAUGGAACCAAACCCGAUUCAGUGGUGAACAGAAGCAGAGGAAAUGUUUGGCUGCAGCUAAAUAAAGCAGGAAGACACCGAGCUGCUCAGGUGUUCCUGAUAACACCAAGCAGCCACCUGGACAGCCAAUAGGAACACAGCUUACUGGAAGUCCAGAGGGCUGGCUUAGUCAAGGAAAUUUAGUUUAAAGUUGAAGUAGAAAGUUAACAAAGAAAGUUGAAAACCACCUUCUGAUCCAUGAAAUCUCUGAGUUUUCACACAAAGAACACCUGAACAUGUCAAACUGGUUCCAUAGUAGAACCCUCAUUGUAAAAACGUCAUAGUAUGGUGUGUUGCUCAAAAAACAUUAGGACCCGGCUGUCUAGGGUCACCGAGGAGCAACACAAAAACAGGACAAAUGCUGGUUUCCAGGGGGUUAGGAGGCUAUUUAUUUGAAAGAGGAAGUUUACAACAACACAACAUGUGAGCAGAAAAAUCACAAAGUCUGUCUUUAGUUCAGCUGAAAACAUUAGUUUUUGUCUUUUUUUACUGACCAAACUUUUCAGGAAGUAGAUGAAAAAUAAUUAAAGCUCUCAUGUAGAAGUCCAACUUAUUUUGGAUCCUUGUGGAGAGUUUAAUCUUAGAGUUUGUAAAGCUGUUGAGUUUUUAGAGUCACAUGGAUUGUUUUGACAUUUAAUAACCAAGUCCUGAAAUAAAAUAUAAAAUCAUUCAUAUCGUAGCGUAUCACCAAAAUUGUGCAACAUAAUUCAUAAAGACACUGUCCUACACUAUCUUUGCAAAAAUAAGUCAUAGUAUAAAUGUUUGUAAAAAUAGUAUUUUAUGUCGUAAAUAAACAUCAAAGUAUGGUAUGUCAUAAAAAUCUGUCAUAUUGUAGUAUAUGACUUAAAUAGUGCAUCAUAUGGUCUAAAAAUACAAGUCAUAGUAUAAUGUGGCAGAAAAACAACAUAUGUAAUUUGUCACAAAACAAUUGUCUAUCAUGUCAGAAGAAUUUCAUAGUCGUGAGAAUUUGUCAGGAUGUAAGAUACGGUGAAAACAAUGGAAAGCAACUUGUUAAAAUACUUUUAUAUUGUAUUUAUUUUCAUUUUAUAUUUUAUUUAUUUUUUGUAUUUUUUACAUUUCAUAAAAAACGUCAUUGCAUAAUAUGGCAUUUAAAAAAAUGCCAUAAUAUACUAUGUCGAAAAAAAAAAUGCAAUUUUUCAACAUGUUGCAAAAAAGUGCCAUAUGAUGAAAUAAUGUAUAGGGGGCCGUGUAAAACACUCCAGAAAGG
ensembl:lncRNA